rnacentral:rRNA from 1 species
UACGAGGGGGGCGAGCGUUGUUCGGAAUUAUUGGGCGUAAAGGGUGCGUAGGCGGCCUAACAAGUCUGAUGUGAAAUCCCUGGGCCCAACCCAGGGCCUGCAUCGGAAACUGUCGGGCUUGAGUAUGGGAGAGGUGAGUGGAAUUUCCGGUGUAGCGGUGAAAUGCGUAGAUAUCGGAAGGAACACCUGUGGCGAAAGCGGCUCACUGGACCAUUACUGACGCUGAGGCACGAAAGCUAGGGGAGCAAACAGG